rnacentral:rRNA from 1 species
AACGAACGCUGGCGGCAGGCCUAACACAUGCAAGUCGAGCGCCCUUUCGGGGGAGCGGCGGACGGGUGAGUAACGCGUGGGAAUAUGCCCUUCUCUACGGAAUAGCCUCGGGAAACUGAGAGUAAUACCGUAUACGCCCUAUGGGGGAAAGAUUUAUCGGGGAAGGAUUAGCCCGCGUUGGAUUAGGUAGUUGGUGGGGUAAUGGCCUACCAAGCCGACGAUCCAUAGCUGGUUUGAGAGGAUGAUCAGCCACACUGGGACUGAGACACGGCCCAGACUCCUACGGGAGGCAGCAGUGGGGAAUCUUAGACAAUGGGGGCAACCCUGAUCUAGCCAUGCCGCGUGAGUGAUGAAGGCCUUAGGGUUGUAAAGCUCUUUCAGCUGGGAAGAUAAUGACGGUACCAGCAGAAGAAGCCCCGGCUAACUCCGU